rnacentral:rRNA from 1 species
UAGGGAAUCUUCCGCAAUGGGCGAAAGCUUGACGGAGCAACGCCGCGUGAGUGAUGAAGGUCUUCGGAUCGUAAAACUCUGUUAUUAGGGAAGAACAAAUGUGUAAGUAACUAUGCACGUCUUGACGGUACCUAAUCAGAAAGCCACGGCUAACUACGUGCCAGCAGCCGCGGUAAUACGUAGGUGGCAAGCGUUAUCCGGAAUUAUUGGGCGUAAAGCGCGCGUAGGCGGUUUUUUAAGGCUGAUGUGAAAGCCCACGGCUCAACCGUGGAGGGUCAUUGGAAACUGGAAAACUUGAGUGCAGAAGAGGAAAGUGGAAUUCCAUGUGUAGCGGUGAAGUGCGCAGAGGUAUGGAGGAACACCAGUGGCGAAGGCGACUUUCUGGUCUGUAACUGACGCUGAUGUGCGAAAGCGUGGGGAUCAAACAGG